UGCGGUACUCUGACCGUGCAAAGGUAGCAUAAUCAUUUGCCUUAUAAUUGAAGGCUAGUAUGAAUGGUUUGAUAAGAAUACAGCUGUCUCUUUAUAAUUUCAUAGAAUUUUAUUUUAAGGUGAAGAAGCCUUAGUAUAAUUAAUAGACAAGAAGACCCUAUCGAGCUUUAAAAAAAUUAGUAGAAUUAAGGUUAAUAAAUAUAAAAAUUUAACUACUAAAAAUUUUAGUUGGGGCGACUGAGGAACAAAAAAAGCUUCCUUUAAAAAUAUAUAAACAUUCAUGUAUUGAUCCAAAAUUUUUGAUUAAAGGAAUUAGUUACCGUAGGGAUAACAGCAUUAUCUUUUUUGAGAGUUCUUAUCGAAAAAAAGGUUUGUGACCUCGAUGUUGGACCAGAAUAUCCUAAAGAUGCAGAAGUCUUUAAGGGUUGGUCUGUUCGACCAUUAAAUUUUCUACGUGAA
rnacentral:rRNA from 1 species